rnacentral:rRNA from 1 species
CCUACGGGGGGCUGCAGUGGGGAAUCUUAGACAAUGGGGGAAACCCUGAUCUAGCCAUGCCGCGUGGACGAUGAAGGCCCUAGGGUUGUAAAGUCCUUUCAGCUGGGAAGAUAAUGACGGUACCAGCAGAAGAAGCCCCGGCUAACUCCGUGCCAGCAGCCGCGGUAAUACGGAGGGGGCUAGCGUUGUUCGGAAUUACUGGGCGUAAAGCGCGCGUAGGCGGACUUUUAAGUCGGGGGUGAAAUCCCGGGGCUCAACCCCGGAACUGCCUUCGA